AGUGAACGCUGGCGGUAGGCCUAACACAUGCAAGUCGAACGGCAGCACAGUAAGAGCUUGCUCUUACGGGUGGCGAGUGGCGGACGGGUGAGGAAUACAUCGGAAUCUACUUUUUCGUGGGGGAUAACGUAGGGAAACUUACGCUAAUACCGCAUACGACCUACGGGUGAAAGCAGGGGAUCUUCGGACCUUUCGCGAUUGAAUGAGCCGAUGUCGGAUUAGCUAGUUGGCGGGGUAAAGGCCCACCAAGGCGACGAUCCGUAGCUGGUCUGAGAGGUUGAUCAGCCACACUGGAACUGAGACACGGUCCAGACUCCUACGGGAGGCAGCAGUGGGGAAUAUUGGACAAUGGGCGCAAGCCUGAUCCAGCAUACCGCGUGGGUGAAGAAGGCCUUCGGGUUGUAAAGCCCUUUUGUUGGGAAAGAAAAGCAGCAGGUUAAUACCCCGCUGUUCUGACGGUACCCAAAGAAUAAGCACCGGCUAACUUCGUG
rnacentral:rRNA from 1 species